UACGCAGGUGGCGAGCGUUGCCCGGAAUCACUGGGCGUAAAGGGCGUGUAGGCGGCUUGGGGCGUCCCAUGUGAAAGGCCACGGCUCAACCGUGGAGGAGCGUGGGAUACGCUCAGGCUAGACGGUGGGAGAGGGUGGUGGAAUUCCCGGAGUAGCGGUGAAAUGCGCAGAUACCGGGAGGAACGCCGAUGGCGAAGGCAGCCACCUGGCUCACUUGUGACGCUGAGGCGCGAAAGCGUGGGGAGCAAACCGG
rnacentral:rRNA from 1 species